UCCAUUCAAAAGUAUGUAUUCUGACAAGGAUUACAAACGCAAAUAGAGAUUAAUCUCUAUUUGAGUUUGUAAUCCUCUAUUUGAGUUUGUAAUCCUUGUCAGAAUACAUACUUUUGAAUGGA